GCAGGAAAAACUUCCGCGUGACGUCACUGAGGUGGGACAGGAGCUCGCUUUGCCCUUGUGUUGCGAAUUAAUGCGGUUUCGGUUUUAUUAAACCGUCAGUGGUUUUUAUUAAGCUCAGCUUUUUCAGUACUGUCAUGUCUCUUGCUGCAGAGGCGUUCGUCUCUCAAAUUGCAGCUGCAGAGCCAUGGCCUGAAAAUGCUGCUUUGUAUCAACCUCUUAAGGAGGAUCAAAUCCUGCUAUCAGAUUCGGCAUCCUCCCUGGCAGUGCAGACGUUCCUGAGGAUGUGUGGUCUGCCAGUACAGGUGUGCUGCCGAUCCAAUGCUGAAUACAUGUCACCAUCAGGUAAGGUUCCUUUCAUCCAUGUCGGGAAUCAGGUUGUGUCAGAAUUGGGGCCGACUGUGCAGUUUGCAAAGGCAAAGGGUCAUUCCCUGAGUGAUGGGUUAGAUGAUGUCCAGAGGGCAGAGAUGAAAGCUUACAUGGAGCUGGUCAAUAACAUGCUAUUGACUGCGGAGCUGUAUAUCCAGUGGUGCGAUGAUUUUACUGCUGCAGAGAUCUCCAGGCCCCGAUACAGUAGUCCAUACUCAUGGCCCCUCAAUCACAUUCUGGCCUAUCAGAAGCAGUGGGAGGUGCGGAGAAAGAUGAACGCAAUUGGAUGGGCCGGAAAAAGCCUGCAGCAGGUAUAUGAAGAUGUAAGUCAGUGUUGUCAGGCUUUGUCACAGCGACUGGGAACUCAGCCCUACUUUUUUAACAAACAGCCGACUGAACUGGACGCUCUGGUGUUUGGUCAUCUCUUCACCAUACUUACCACACAGCUUACCAACGAUGAGCUAGCAGAGAAGGUUAAAGCCUACACCAACUUAUUAUCUUUCUGCCACCGUAUUGAACAGACUUACUUUAAAGAACACGACAGGGAUAGCCAAUCCGGGUCAUCACGCUAUUCCAAAGGCUCGCUCCCCUAAACACCGCCCCUUUGACAGAUGCUACUCCCUUCACACCAAAAUGAUUGACAGCUCAUCCUACAGCUCUGUAUAGAAGGUAUAGAUAUGGUAUUGCUAGUAUGUAAGAGUUUGUCUAGAUCAACGGGAGGGAGAAGUGGGAAUUAAAUAGAAGUUUGUUAAUAUUUAAAUUGUUCCAAAAAUGCCUGGCCAGAAUGCCAUAAAAAGGGAAUUUGCCUGCCAGAACAACACAUUUAGAUUUGUGUGCAAGAUUUAAGUUGAUGUAAACUCUUUUCCACUGUGCGAUUUAAGCGGUAAAUGUGAAGUGCCUAUAAAAUAUAAUAAAUAUUAAAUCAGAAGUC